rnacentral:rRNA from 1 species
UACAGAGGUGGCAAGCGUUGUUCGGAAUUACUGGGCGUAAAGGGCGCGUAGGCGGCCUUUCAAGUCCUGUGUGAAAUCCCUCGGCUCAACUGAGGAAUUGCACGGGAAACUGUUUGGCUUGAGUUCGGGAGAGGGAAGCGGAAUUCCGGGUGUAGCGGUGAAAUGCGUAGAUAUCCGGAGGAACACCGGUGGCGAAGGCGGCUUCCUGGCCUGUUCUUGACGCUGAGGCGCGAAAGCUAGGGGAGCAAACGGG